UCAGUUUUGGCUCAGACCGUAAAGCGUCUGCCUGCAAUGCAGGAGACCCAGGUUUGUUUCCUGGGUUGAA
rnacentral:tRNA from 1 species